rnacentral:rRNA from 1 species
UACAGAGGGUGCAAGCGUUUGUUCGGAAUUAUUGGGCGUAAAGGGCGCGUAGGCGGUGCGGUAAGUCUGUAGUGAAAUCUCUGGGCUCAACUCAGAGUCUGCUGCAGAAACUGCCGUGCUUGAGUGUGGGAGAGGUGAGUGGAAUUCCCGGUGUAGCGGUGAAAUGCGUAGAUAUCGGGGAGGAACACCUGUGGCGAAAGCGGCUCACUGGACCACAACUGACGCUGAGGCGCGAAAGCUAGGGGAGCAAACAGG